CCGCCACGGUAAUACGUAGGGUGCAAGCGUUAAUCGGAAUUACUGGGCGUAAAGCGUGCGCAGGCGGUUUUGUAAGACAGAGGUGAAAUCCCCGGGCUCAACCUGGGAACUGCCUUUGUGACUGCAAGGCUAGAGUACGGCAGAGGGGGAUGGAAUUCCGCGUGUAGCAGUGAAAUGCGUAGAUAUGCGGAGGAACACCGAUGGCGAAGGCAAUCCCCUGGGCCUGUACUGACGCUCAUGCACGAAAGCGUGGGGAGCAAACAGGAUUAGAUACCCCCGUAGUCCCUGUCUCUUAUACACC
rnacentral:rRNA from 1 species